rnacentral:lncRNA from 1 species
CAAUCCUAUAGACACCCUUUUAAUUCUUCAAUCACAGACGUAACUUUGAUUUUACAAAACAGUCAAGAGUAAUCACACCCACUUCAUUAAAACCCCGAUUCACCAGUACAACACUAACUUUUGGCAACGAUUGCCUCAGUCUUCUCAAAACCCUAUGAAGAAAAAAAAUCCAAUUUUCUGUCUUUUUUCCCCGCCCCAAAGCCUGAAGCUCUCUCUCUGAUCCUUCUUCAAAAACCUUAUUCUAAC